AUGAAGGAGAAGGACCGCCGCAGCGGCGCCAGCUUCCCCUUCUCCAUCGGCUGCAUGUCGCAGUCCGCCGUCGCCGUUGCCGACCCGCUCGACAAGAAGCCGCCGCUGCCGCAGCGGCUGGCCGACAACCCCUCCUCCUCCACCAACACGGCGGCGGCCACCACACAGGAGAGAGGCGCCGGAGAAGAAAGCAGCGAGGAGAAGGCCAAGGCCGCGGCGGCAUCGGGGAUCGUCUCGGCGGGGGUCCAGCGACUGCUCAAGGGGAUCAAGACCUUCUUCGCGGCGUACGACGGCGGAGAAGAAGAUGAAGAGGAGCGGGAGAUCGUGAUCGGGUACCCCACCGACGUGCAGCACGUCGGGCACAUCGGCUGGGACGGGAUCAACAAGGUGGGCGGCAUGGGCGUGGGCGUGGGCAUGGCCGGCGCCUUCUCGCUGCCAUCCUCCCUCUCCCUCCGCCAGCUCGAGAUCGCCAUGGACCCCGGCGCCGCCGCCACCACCUGCAUCAACUGA
rnacentral:rRNA from 1 species